rnacentral:tRNA from 1 species
GCCUGGGUGGCGGAACUGGUAGACGCAAGGGACUUAAAAUCCCUCGGCCUCCGGGCCGUGCCGGUUCGAUUCCGGCCCUAGGCACCA